GUCUUUGAGCCUACAGAAGUUUUGAGUCUACAAGCCAUGAAAUGACUUAGCCUCAGCUCUGAAGGAAAUCACAGCCAUAGUUGGAAAUCAUCUGCUCCGCCAUUAAUAGAGAGACAGAAUAUCACUGGUGAAAGAGAAAUCACAAUGGGAUCUGAUGGAGAAGGCCACACACAUCUGUAGGUCUUGGAUUUUUUGCUGCAUAGAGUAAUCAGAUGAGAGCUUGGGUCGUCUCCCUUGGUAAGGAGACACAGUUGGGAAAACAUGGCUUGGGAAGCAGAGACUUGGAGGAGGAGGAACUGUGUCCCUGGGGAAACCCGUCUUAUUGUGCUCCAACAG